rnacentral:rRNA from 1 species
AUGGCGGCCUUUCGAGAUGUGCUCAUGACGUGUGAAUUGGUGGAUAUGGGCUUCAUUGGAGUGCCUUACACUUAUGAUAAUAUGCGAGCAGCGGCUGCUAAUGUACGUGUGCGCCUGGAUCGUGCAGUUGCUACCAAUGAAUGGAGGAAUUUAUUUGCUUUCUCUUCGGUACAUCACUUGGCGUCUCCUUGUUCGGAUCAUGUGCCUCUUCUCCUGAAACUUUCUGCUGAACAGGAGAACCCACGAGCAAAGGCAAGGAGAUAUGAGUUUUUUUGGGAACGAGAUGCAGGGCUCCCGGACUUUAUAAGGAAUACAUGGGAUGCCUUUGGCACUAUGGAAAAUCUGGGGAAAGUAAAUGAGGCACUAAGAUCUACCAUGACAGCACUCAAAACAUGGAGUAACCGGAGGUUUGGUAAUGUCACUAGGGAGAUUAAUAAAUCACGCUCUCAAUUAGAAGAGCUGAUGAGGAUGAAUGCUGACACACAGGAGAUACGGAGAGUAUCUGACAAACUCAAUGAACUGCUAUAUAAAGAAGAAAUGUUAUGGCUACAGCGCUCGCGGAUAAUGUGGCUCAAGGAAGGAGAUAGGAACACAAAGUUUUUCCAGAGCAAGUCAGUAUGGAGAGCAAGGAAAAAUAAAAUUAGAGAGCUGCAUGAUGAUAAUGGUACUAUUUUUAAAGAUGAAGAUGUUAUGGGUAACUUCCUCCUGACGACCCCUCAAAAAAAAAAACUUCCUCCUGACGAAAAGUCUGUUUCUUGA